rnacentral:tRNA from 1 species
GCGCAUAGAGCUUAGUGGUUGGGCACAUGCUUAGCAUGCAUGAUGUCCUGGGUUCAAUCUCCAGUACCUCCA